GGGCGGCGCGAGUCAGUCACCUGGCGCGCUCCCUCGGCUGCCAUUAGAACCAUCUCGCAACGCGAUGGUGGCGCACCUAGGCGGAGGCGGAGGCAGGCAGGCACGUACGAAGUACUCUCUGCUCUCUGCUCUGGCUCUGCCUCUGCUGCCGUGCCUUUCUCUGCCGUGAGUUUGCAGAAGGAAGAUGUCAACAUUUCAAAUGAGUGUGUUUUGUGGGUUUUCACCUUCUAAGCGUACGUGAAUGAUCUAAGGGUGCUGCGCCCCGCGUAGUACACUGUUUCUUGGCUUUCCAAGAGACGUCAGUGCUGCCGUCGCGAUGAUUUUCACAGUAGUAUUCGUGUUGUGCGACUCAGGUACCUGACGACCCCUCAUUAGUGUCUAUUCCGACAUCUUUGCGUCACUGUCCUCAACAGGAGCACAAACCCAAAGCCCAAGAGACUGUGAGGUGCAUGGCGGUAUAUUAUUGGUCGCAGUGGGGGACAGCAACGGCAAGCAGAGCAAUUAGCAGACUGUCCACGGUCCAGUGUGGGCAGGGCACGCAGGAAAAAGAUGCAGUCACAAAUUUAUUUGAAGAUCUUCGGAGCCCCUAUGUUGAGAACUUUGCUCGCAUACCUUCAAUGUGAAAUUUUCCCUGUGGGCCUGCUGUACUCUUGAGCUGUUAUCUGCCGUACACAGCGGGAAAUAAUUUUGUGUCAUCUUGCUUAUCAGCAUUUCUUGUGAUUGUAGUUACCGUGUUUUGUGCAGCUUUAAAUGGCAAAUGUAAGGGACUAGCCACAAGAGUUUUGUUGUGAACAAAGCCUCACACUACACAACAAAACUGCUAGAGUAAUAUGUUCAAAGUAAUGAAUUCUGCUUAUAUGGUUUUUGUUUGUCUCUAAAUUCUUUCUUAUCUGUGAUUGUUUUUUUUUUAGUUUGUGAAUCUUGGAGUUUAUGCUUUUUCAAAGUGUUUUGCCGUGCAAGCUUAUCUCUUAAACACCCAGGAAAUUAUUUUUUUUUUCACAAUAAUCCUGAGGUUUUUCUACAAACUGGAAAUAUGACAGUUCUACCUAGUCAGGUUGUGAGCAUCUACUAUGUGAUGUACCUGUGUUGUUUUUGUGCCUCUGAUGUCUUCAGAAUGAUCUUUGAAAAACAAUACUAGAAACUUUCUAUAUUUUUGUAAAUUAGGGAGUUGAGUGCAUGUUCAUCUCUUAAACUGCUCUGCUUACCUUGCUCUGUAAGAAUAAUUGUUUCAAGAUAUGCAUUAGAUUGUACUCUUAUUGGUGUUACUGGCUGUAUCAUAAAGUGUCACAUGAACAACAUUGUUGGGAGAUAGGUUUAAUUCAUUGUUAAUGUCUUGUUUGGUUGAUUGAUGUUUGUAGUGUGAUCCUUGAGAACUUAUCAUUAUUCUGUUUUCAUUUAUUAUAUUUUAGUCGAAACAAUUUCACACUAAAGAUCUAUUGUGGGGGGAAAAUAUACUGCUUUGUUUUUAGGUGUGGUACUUGGCUCUCUAACGGCCCACGUCAGUGUCUGUAUGUUAUGAAUGGAUCAAGAUUUUCAUGUGUCUAGAAGCUUGUGCUAUUUGAGGUACUCUUUGCAUCCCCGUUUAAUCCUGACAACCCAAGUCUAAAUACCAUCUAAGUUGUGUUUUGUUUUUGUUUCUCAAUAAUCUUGAAAUUUUUUUGAAUAGUGUAAAUUGAAUCUUUCAGUCUACAUAAAUUAACUGUUAAAUUGUCUUAAAAAAAAAAAUUCUGAUUGUUCGUAAUCCAAGGAUGUGUUCAAUUCUUACAAUCUCCAAGUGCAUGCAUAGUAUUACUGCAACAUAACAGCAACCGCAAGGGGUGUUUGUGAUACAGAAGGUGGUUGUUCAAGAACAAAUGUAACGUAUUUAAUAAAUUCUUUUCCUAUUUA